rnacentral:tRNA from 1 species
GGAGACGUCGCAUAGCCUGGUCGAGUGCGCCCGCCUGCUAAGUGGGUAGGGGCCCAAAAGCCCCUCGAGGGUUCAAAUCCCUCCGUCUCCG